UGAUGAAUAACUGUGCAAUUCUCCUUUGGCAGACGUAUAUGGCGUUCGGACACCAACUUUGGACUGCCAAAGGAGAAUUGCCCUGCCAUUCAACU
rfam:Populus trichocarpa scaffold_4_contig_69, whole genome shotgun sequence.